rnacentral:rRNA from 1 species
CAUGGAGUUUGAUCCUGGCUCAGAUUGAACGCUGGCGGAAUGCUUUACACAUACAAGUCGAACGGUAGAGGGGGCAACCCCUUGAGAGUGGCGAACGGGUGAGUAAUAUAUCGGAACGUGCCCAGUCGUGGGGGAUAACGUAGUGAAAAUUACGCUAAUACCGCAUACGAUCUAUGGAUGAAAGCGGGGGAUCGCAAGACCUCGCGCGAUUGGAGCGGCCGAUAUCAGAUUAGGUAGUUGGUGGGGUAAAGGCUCACCAAGCCAACGAUCUGUAGCUGGUCUGAGAGGACGACCAGCCACACUGGAACUGAGACACGGUCCAGACUCCUACGGGAGGCAGCAGUGGGGAAUUUUGGACAAUGGACGCAAGUCUGAUCCAGCCCAUUCCCGCG